rnacentral:rRNA from 1 species
GAGAUCGGGAGAGGGAUGCGGAAUUCCAGGUGUAGCGGUGAAAUGCGUAGAUAUCUGGAGGAACACCGGUGGCGAAGGCGGCAUCCUGGACCGGUAUUGACGCUGAGGCGCGAAAGCCAGGGGAGCAAACGGGAUUAGAUACCCCGGUAGUCCUGGCCCUAAACGAUGAAUGCUUGGUGUGGCGGGUAUCGAUCCCUGCCGUGCCGAAGCUAACGCAUUAAGCAUUCCGCCUGGGGAGUACGGUCGCAAGGCUGAAACUCAAAUGAAUUGACGG